UUGUGGAUGAUUGUUUAUUGUCAAAAAAUCUUGCCAUUUCAUUUAUUAAAAAGAAUACGAGAGUUGUUUAUUUUUGUCUGAAAACAGUACUGUUUAUUUUCUGUCAGGAAACAGCAGUGCAAUUGGAGGUAAGUAAGUAUAUUAAACAGAUUCAGUUUUCCAUUUUGAAGUAAAUAAAGAAGAUAACGAGGAGAAGGAUUUUACGGCAUGCUGCGGGAGUAGUAGAUUUGCUAAAGAAGAAGCCAUUGCUGCCACCAGAAAUAAUUGGUUCAACAAGGUUUGCCAUUGCUGCCGCCAGAAAUAUCUGGUUCAACAAGGUUGAUGCGUAUGGGUUGGCUGGAGGCAUUCUCAACUCAUCCUCAGAUCGGGCUUCUCAUGUUGCUGCUCAGUUCAGUAAGGGAGAGCAUUCGACUGCUUUAACCAACUACUACGUCUACGGGUUCCAGAUUACAGGUUAAAUUAGACUCAUCUAGUUCUUAACUAAUGAUAGGAAGCAUAAAGAUAGCAUAACAGAGAAACUGAGGUGGCAUGUAAUGAAAGCAAGCAAAGAAGAGGAAAAACAAGAUGUACUGAACGAUUUCCUAAAAUAUUUUCAGGCUGAAUGUAAAACCUUCGGAAGCAUAUGUGAAAA